GAGUUUGAUCAUGGCUCAGAUUGAACGCUGGCGGCAGGCCUAACACAUGCAAGUCGAGCGGAUGACAGGAGCUUGCUCCUUGAUUCAGCGGCGGACGGGUGAGUAAUGCCUAGGAAUCUGCCUGGUAGUGGGGGACAACGUUUCGAAAGGAACGCUAAUACCGCAUACGUCCUACGGGAGAAAGCAGGGGACCUUCGGGCCUUGCGCUAUCAGAUGAGCCUAGGUCGGAUUAGCUAGUUGGUGGGGUAAUGGCUCACCAAGGCGACGAUCCGUAACUGGUCUGAGAGGAUGAUCAGUCACACUGGAACUGAGACACGGUCCAGACUCCUACGGGAGGCAGCAGUGGGGAAUAUUGGACAAUGGGCGAAAGCCUGAUCCAGCCAUGCCGCGUGUGUGAAGAAGGUCUUCGGAUUGUAAAGCACUUUAAGUUGGGAGGAAGGGCAGUAAGCUAAUACCUUGCUGUUUUGACGUUACCGACAGAAUAAGCACCGGCUAACUCUGUGCCAGCAGCCGCGGUAAUACAGAGGGUGCAAGCGUUAAUCGGAA
rnacentral:rRNA from 1 species